rnacentral:rRNA from 1 species
AUUGAACGCUGGCGGCAGGCCUAACACAUGCAAGUCGAGCGGUAGCACAGAGAGCUUGCUCUCGGGUGACGAGCGGCGGACGGGUGAGUAAUGUCUGGGAAACUGCCUGAUGGAGGGGGAUAACUACUGGAAACGGUAGCUAAUACCGCAUAACGUCGCAAGACCAAAGUGGGGGACCUUCGGGCCUCAUGCCAUCAGAUGUGCCCAGAUGGGAUUAGCUAGUAGGUGGGGUAACGGCUCACCUAGGCGACGAUCCCUAGCUGGUCUGAGAGGAUGACCAGCCACACUGGAACUGAGACACGGUCCAGACUCCUACGGGAGGCAGCAGUGGGGAAUAUUGCACAAUGGGCGCAAGCCUGAUGCAGCCAUGCCGCGUGUGUGAAGAAGGCCUUCGGGUUGUAAAGCACUUUCAGCGGGGAGGAAGGCGUUAAGGUUAAUAACCUUGGCGAUUGACGUUACCCGCAGAAGAAGCACCGGCUAACUCCGUGCCAGCAGCCGCGGUAAUACGGAGGGUGCAAGCGUUAAUCGGAAUUACUGGGCGUAAAGCGCACGCAGGCGGUCUGUCAGUCGGAUGUGAAAUCCCCGGGCUCAACCUGGGAACUGCAUUCGAAACUGGCAGGCUAGAGUCUUGUAGAGGGGGGUAGAAUUCCAGGUGUAGCGGUGAAAUGCGUAGAGAUCUGGAGGAAUACCGGUGGCGAAGGCGGCCCCCUGGACAAAGACUGACGCUCAGGUGCGAAAGCGUGGGGAGCAAACAGGAUUAGAUACCCUGGUAGUCCACGCCGUAAACGAUGUCGAUUUGGAGGUUGUGCCCUUGAGGCGUGGCUUCCGGAGCUAACGCGUUAAAUCGACCGCCUGGGGAGUACGGCCGCAAGGUUAAAACUCAAAUGAAUUGACGGGGGCCCGCACAAGCGGUGGAGCAUGUGGUUUAAUUCGAUGCAACGCGAAGAACCUUACCUGGUCUUGACAUCCACAGAACUUAGCAGAGAUGCUUUGGUGCCUUCGGGAACUGUGAGACAGGUGCUGCAUGGCUGUCGUCAGCUCGUGUUGUGAAAUGUUGGGUUAAGUCCCGCAACGAGCGCAACCCUUAUCCUUUGUUGCCAGCGGUCCGGCCGGGAACUCAAAGGAGACUGCCAGUGAUAAACUGGAGGAAGGUGGGGAUGACGUCAAGUCAUCAUGGCCCUUACGACCAGGGCUACACACGUGCUACAAUGGCAUAUACAAAGAGAAGCGACCUCGCGAGAGCAAGCGGACCUCAUAAAGUAUGUCGUAGUCCGGAUUGGAGUCUGCAACUCGACUCCAUGAAGUCGGAAUCGCUAGUAAUCGUAGAUCAGAAUGCUACGGUGAAUACGUUCCCGGGCCU